rnacentral:ncRNA from 1 species
CCCUCUGAAGUUUCCCUCCAUAUAGCUGGUGCUCUCGACAUGAACGCAUGUUUAGCUGAUAAAGCGAAAGAUUAGAGGUCUUGGGGCGGAAAGGAUCUCAACCUAUUGUCAAACUUUCAAUGAGUAAGAAGCCUGGCUUGCUGGCGUGGAGGCGGGCGCGGAAUGCGGAUGCCUACCUCGUGCGCCACUUUUGGUAGCAGAACUGGCGCUGCGGGAGGAACCAGACACUGGGUUAAGGUGCCCGAUGCCAAUGCUCAUCAGACCCCAGAAAAGGUAUGGAUGACACAAACCGCAGGAUAGUUAGUGGUCAUGGAAGUCGGAAUCCGCUAAGGAGUGUGCACUCACCUGCUGAAUCAACUAGCCCUGAAAAUGGAAGGCGCUGGAGCAUCGAGCCCAUACCUGGCUGUCGCUGGCAGUCGGUGACAUGCGUGUGAGGG